rnacentral:rRNA from 1 species
UACGUAGGGUGCAAGCGUUGUCCGGAAUUAUUGGGCGUAAAGAGCUCGUAGGCGGUCUGUCGCGUCUGCUGUGAAAACUCAGGGCUUAACCCUGAGCUUGCAGUGGGUACGGGCAAACUAGAGUGUUGCAGGGGAGACUGGAAUUCCUGGUGUAGCGGUGAAAUGCGCAGAUAUCAGGAGGAACACCGGUGGCGAAGGCGGGUCUCUGGGCAACAACUGACGCUGAGGAGCGAAAGCGUGGGGAGCGAACAGG